UCGGCGGUAGGGGGCAGUGCGGUAGAGAGUAGCAAGGAUACUAGGAGCCUGUUGGUGACUGGAGGGAGUGAGGUUAUCGUCAAGUUUUCGUUAUUCCGUGCUCCUAUUGAGUGUGUCAGAUUGGUGGAGUAGUUCAGCGUGGCGCCAUGAAGGUACAGGAGUGUGGAUGACAAGCCGUGAGCAACGAGGAGAGGCGCCGUGAGAGAUGGCGCUGCUCACCCCUACCUUCCUGCCUGCCUGCCUGGAAAGUACUGAAGUAUCGUGCUGUCGUACAAGACUAACACACCUGCACCCACACCAGCAGGUAACUGAAAGGCCUCCCAGCUUAGAUUAGUAUCCUCCCGCGGGUCCUCCUUUGCCCAACGUCGCAUCUUCCUCUCCUCUUUCCUUUCCUCCACCUUCGUAAGAACCGCAGAGUGUAGGGAAAGGGAGGAUGGUGAUGGCGUUGUGUGAUGUACAGCGCUACGCCACAUUUACGUCCCUUUGCUUGGUUGGUCAUAGUGAGGCUGGGUGCACGUGACGAGGCGAGGCGGGACACAAGCUUGCAGGAGUUGAGAGAGGCUGCGGGUGUGGCGGCGACUAGUCCUCGUCUCUCGUGGCUUUGGCGAGUCCGGUACGACAGUCGGAUUGGAUGUAUACAAGCCAAUUAAAUGAGUGUCCGACUCACUCACUCGGGGCUUCGAAUCGCACAGGGGCUGAGUGAAGAGGCAGAACUGGCCGGCGCGCAGCAGUCACCAAGGCACCAUGAAGGCUUACGGACCAAGACAACAGUGAGAGUGCACCACCAGCAGGCCGGCACUACACUGAACCAUACACCAGAAAGGCGCCGCCACAGGUUAUGUUCCAACCAACCAGGACUACCCGACGCUCACCACCCAUAGGUUCUGGGUGCCAAAGGUCCAUGCUGAAGGUGACACCUGCUCUUCUCAAGCUGCUCAUCAACCUUCUCAGUUAUGAUGAGAGUAUUCAAGUUUUUUUCAUGAUCAUGUCAUAAUCCAGCCACUGUUCAUUAAACCAGGAGAGGAGGGAAUUCUUUGAUCAUGUUUUGCAAACCACUCAUUGGUUUUGGGUGACAUUUUUUUAGUAUAACAAAAAUAAUGAGAAAAGAGCAGAAUUGAUAAUUAAUUAGCCUUCUGAUUGGUAAGCACACAAUUUGAAUUUAAUCUUAGGUGAGACGCAUUGCCUUACUUGUCCAUCCAAAUAGCUCCAGAUCUUUUGAAUUAAGUUGCAGACCUCGAGUAAUAUCAAACUACAUGCACACUGAGGAGUGUCGCAUCAGCUCCUCAGUUCCAGUAUCAGGUGUCUUCCAAAAUUAAAAGUUCACCAUAUAUUUUCUCAUCAGACACAUUACUCUGAAAUGUUGCCUUACAACACACACACACACACACACACACACAUGAAUGUUAAGUGGUGUGUGUGUGUGUGUGUGUGUUUAUUUAUUGAUGUUACUGCACUAUUAAUUUUAGGACCAUUGUCAUCAUUUAAUUAUGUUCUCAUGGAGAGACAGCUGUCCAAAGUCUAAUUUCUUUGCCAUGAAAGGGUCCAUUUCUUUUAUAUAGUUUAAAAAAAGUGCCAUGUGGAUCUUUAUAUCUUAGUAUAAGCAUGUAUGUGAAGAAAGGCAUGACUUCUUUUUGUAUAUUUAACACACACAAACUCAUGCCUUGUUUUGUACAUCUAGCACACGCGCUUGCGCGCGUGCUAGACACACACACAUUGUAUAUGCCAUUUACUAGAUAUAAUUGGGGAAUUCUAACAAGAAAAAUAAUCAUUGCAACAGUUGCUUGUUGGCUUCUACUAGGAAAUGAGACGAUAUUUGACUUUAGGAAUUAGAAUAUUGCUUGGAGUAUUUCUUGAGCUUGAUUCAAUAAUGUGAAUGAAAUGCUUAAAGUUGUCUGUGGUGAGAAAUAUCUUCAGACCACAGAGCUGGUGUUGUGUGUCACAUCAACUCUGCCAAUUGAUAGGCAAGGCAGUGGUGGGACAAAUCCUGUUACUAUGCUUCUUAGGUAUCAUGUUGUUUUUUUUCCACUUGACACAUAAUCAUAACUCUCACAGGGCAGUGCCCUCAUCUGGUGACUGGCCUUUGUAUUCCCAUUUUCCUUUAACGAUGUAAACAUUAAAUUCACUGUGUAUGCCUAUCAAAAUUUUUAUUUUUGUAAGAUAAUAACUAUGGAUAUAAAUAAUUUAGUAUCAUAAAUAAUCCAGGAUUAUCAGACAAUUAGCUAGUCACAUUUUUAAACUAAAUUAAAUGUGUAGGCCAGUCAACAUGCUAGUGUCACUCAUUGACCUUUUUCAUGUCAUUAGGUGGAAAAAAACUACAGCACCAGAAUCAAUGAUACUGAGUUUAAUCAUGACUGACUAAGACAACACUUAGCAGAUGAGAACUGAAGUACAGUAAUUAUGAUGUAUGUUAACUUUUAUCUUCUGGACAGCAUGGAUAUGUGCAACUUGUAACAUUUUAAAACUUUAGGUGACAUGUUUGUGCACCUACUUUCCCACUGCUUUGAAUUCUGGGACAAAGGGUCAUGCUAAUCUUGCUAAUAGGCUUAGAUAUGCUACCAAGUUAUACUUGUCAACUCCAGACAUGAGGAAUGUUAAGUACUUUAGUGCAAGUCAGAGGAUAAGAGUAAGAAGUACAUCAAAUAUUUCACUUACAUACAUUUAUAGUCAAAAUUAAAGAUUUUUAUUACAUUACCAUCCAUGCAUAGUCUAUACAAAGCCCAGGCAGGUUCACUGUGUGAUAUAAAGUUAUACAAAUUGUAGCAAUGAGAAAACAAUGAAACAUCUUUAUAU